AGCUACCGCUAUUGGAAUUCGAUUAAGCCAUGCGAGUCGAGAGAUUUCGGAUCUCGGCAGACGUCUCAGUAACACGUGGAUAAUCUGCCCUUGAGUGGGGGAUAAGCUUGGUAACCUGAGUAUAAUACCCCAUAGGUCUAGGAUGCUGGAAUGCUUCUAGGCUGAAAGCUCCGGCGCUCAAGGAUGAAUCUGCGACCUAUCAGGCUGUAGUGGGUGUAACGGACCCACUAACCUUCGACGGGUACGGGCCUUGAGAGAGGUUGCCCGGAGUUGGACUCUGAGACACGAGUCCAGGCCCUACGGGGUGCAGCAGGCGCGAAAACUUCACAAUGUGGGAAACCGCGAUGAGGGGAUUCCAAGUGCCAGCACAAUGUGUUGGCUGUUCACCUGCCUAAAAAGCUGGUGAAGUAAGAGCCGGGUAAGACGGGUGCCAGCCGCCGCGGUAAUACCUGCGGCUCGAGUGGUGGUCGUUAUUAUUGAGCCUAAAGCGUCCGUAGCCGGUUUAGUAAAUUUCUGGGUAAAUCGGGCAGCUCAACUGUCCGAAUUCCGGAAAGACUGCUAAACUUGGGACCGGGGGAGGUUGGAGGUACUCCUGGGGUAGGGGUGAAAUCCUGUAAUCCUGGGGGGACCACCAGUGGCGAAGGCGUCCAACCAAAACGGAUCCGACGGUAAGGGACGAAGCCCUGGGGCGCAAACGGGAUUAGAUACCCCGGUAGUCCAGGGUGUAAACGCUGCAGGCUUGGUGUUGGGGGUCCUACGAGGGCGCCCAGUGCCGGAGAGAAGUUGUUAAGCCUGCCGCUUGGGGAGUACGUCCGCAAGGAUGAAACUUAAAGGAAUUGGCGGGGGAGCACAGCAACGGGUGGAGCGUGCGGUUC
rnacentral:rRNA from 1 species